rnacentral:lncRNA from 1 species
CGUCCGCUAGUUGAAAAUAAAACAACAAUUUAAUGUAAUUUAUCAUUUUGUAUCUUCAACAGGAAGCUUUGCGGGAUAAUUAUUAUCUUAAAUGUCGCUCAGAACUUCAAAAUACCUAGUCUGUGACAUACAGCUGCCAAAAAAAAAACAUUAUUGUCAUUUUGGUAAGUCAUUGUCAAAGUCAAUUGAAAAAUUAAUUGCGAUUGUACCUUCAUGUGUGCUUGUUUGUGAUUGCAUCUGCGAAUAUUAGAAACUUUUCCUUUGGCGGGCAGGAUGUCCAAGCGCAGACGUCGGACGAAUACGCAGGUUGCGGGGCGCGGGGUCACCGCGCCGGACUGUCGUGCCAGCGACCGACGAACACGCUUCUAAUAAGACUCGCACGGACUAUGUGCGCUUGUUAUGACCCCUGUAGUCCAGUAGGUUGCAACGACAGCAAUGUUCCAGUGCCCUGCUCUCAUCCCACCUUGGACGGUAGAAUGUGCUUGUUCAGCGCCCUACAUACUCCGUUGCGAUGGAUUCACGUAGCGAUUUACGUAGUUAAUUACGCAAAUGAUUAUUAAUAUAAAAGAGGAGGACACGCGAUGGAAGACGAUCUUUGAUCAAUCUCCGAUCCAGUGGGACAUCUGGUUAGGAUUAGGCUCUCUAUAUUUCGAUCGCCGAAAUUAGAGUUUUCCAGUUAUUAUAAGUUUUUGUAAUAAUUUAAUUAAAAUAAGUAUUAAA